rnacentral:misc_RNA from 1 species
GAUGAAGAACGUAGCGAAAUGCGAUAAGUAAUGUGAAUUGCAGAAUUCCGUGAAUCAUCGAAUCUUUGAACGCACCUUGCGCUCCUUGGUAUUCCGAGGAGCAUGCCUGUUUGAGUGUCAUGAAAUUCUCAACCUUUUCAGCUUUCUUUGUUGAUCAGGCUUGGAUGUGGGAGUAUGCGGGCUUCUCAGAAGUCGGCUCUCCUGAAAUGCAUUAGCGGGACCUUUGUUGCCUGGCUUUGGUGUGAUAAUUAUCUACGCCAUUGUAGUCAAGCAGCUUAAAAUGAGGUUUCAGCUUCUAACCGUCUCCCCUGAGACAACUUUUUGACAAUUUGACCUCAAAUCAGGUAGGACUACCCGCUGAACUUAAGCAUAUCAAUAAGCGGAGGA